UCAUCAGGUGGGAUAGUUUUUACCUGUUCCUCCUUUUGGAGGUUAGAUUCGAAUAUAAUGAUUGAAGUUCAUAUGGUUCGUGAUUAAUGUCUCUGCAUAAUCAGACUUGCAACACCGUGAUUGCCCCUGAU
ensembl:snoRNA U8 U8 small nucleolar RNA